GUCGCAAAUUGAGAAGAGGGCUGCUGGGUUGGGCCCCCCUCCUCUGGACACUAACCCCACCCAGGUAAACAGGGACCCGGCCCAGGUUCCUGCUGGGUGCCGAGGCAGCGGAAUCAGCAGGAAGCCCUGGAGACUGCCCGGAAACGUGCUGGAGGCCUGGAUGUGAUUCCACUGCCACCAUCCCCUUUACCCCGGCUUCAAAGCCUCCUGGAGUGCGCUUGGUUUUUCCCAGGUUUUUCUUUUCUCACAGUGGUGAAACAGGAAGCAACAUCCCAUCAGGAAGAACCUGAGGUGCCAUCCAGUAGCUUCGCCUCACGUCACUGACUGCCCUCAGUCAGAAAUCUCGACUUGCAACUUUGGAGGGUGGGUCUCUGAAGGAAUUUCAGGGCUUACGCAGAGAUGAGGUGUGUUGCUCUCUGAGGAGAACGAAGCUGGCUGGAAUGCUGGAAGCUGCUCUCUGACUACACUUUACAAGCAAGGGGCACCUUUUGUGGACUGACAUUUCAGAAAGGUAGGCACCAUCUCAUUGACGUAGUUAGAAUUUGACGACUUUCAAAACCAAGGUGGCCGUGAUUCCCUGUGUGAGCUUGUGGGUGUAUGUGUGCCUGGGUGCGUGACAGAGAGAGGGAGAGGAGACAGAGAGUGGGGGAGAGGCAGCUAAAUGAAGUCUGAUGUUUGGGAGAAAUACAGAAAAGACAGACUUGGGGCCCUUUGCUUUGUAGAGUUUUGCUUGUAAGUGUUUAGUAGUGGAGGGUAAAUGUUGAGUCCAAACUUCCACUCCUGACCUGCAUUGCUCUCGGGCGAGUUUAAACUGAUUCAUUGAGGGUUAGGAAGAAUGGUUUGGGCAAUGAAAUCACAUGCGCUGAAUACUCGGCAUAGCUUGGUUUAUUAGGAAAGCCCUGACUCCAGGCGGAAUGAAAGGGGUCACCACAGAUCUUUGCCAGGUGGCAUGGCAAAGGCCAUUUCAGACCGUCUCAGAGUGCCUUAAACUGAGAACAAGGUGGGACUUGCUCACCCCUAGUGGCAAGCCUUCCUAAGCUGCUGCUGUCCUGAGAGAUAUAGUGCUCAAUGUCAUGCCAGGAGAAAUUAGCUGUUUAGUUCUAAGGCUGCCAGUCUCAUGCAAAAGAAAUGAAACAAAAUCAAAC
rnacentral:lncRNA from 1 species